AUGUUCCUCCAAAUCGGAUUUUUUUGUUUGUUUCUUUGUUCUCGACGUUACCGAAUCCCAGGACGCCUGUCACUGAUUAUGCUCUCUAAAGAGCGUAAUAAAAAAAAGAAGGACAGGUUUUUCGCUUUGCACUAUACUUUGCUGAGGGUCGUCCGCUGGACACUUAAAAGCACUCAACACGUCGUAGAUAGUUGGAAAUCACUUCAGUUUUCGUUCUACAGGGUGAUCUGCUGUAUAUGUUCCGAUUGUUUUGUCGAGUCAGGUUGCAAUGUGACGCUAUGGCCCAGAGUGCGUUUCCAGCAUCGUUUCGGUGCGGGACCUUGUUUCUUCCGGCUACCCAAUCGUCCUGGUAGUCCCCAGAUGGAUCAACGGCAUUGGUGGAUCGAAAUCGCUUUUAGUUCCUUCCAGAUGGGCCGUUCCGUCUUGAAUCAAACGUGUCCAACAGGCCACGUAAAAUUCGUCGAGCAAACUGGAGUUGCUGCAAGUUCAUCCGGAACUUUUUGCGGACGAUUAAGUGGCGAUUCGCAAACUUAUUUGACCAGUGCCAAAGCUCUGACGCUUUACUCCAAUCCGAUGUCGGAAGCGGAUCACUUCAACGCUUACUUUGACGUCCUGUCGACGGAAGCUCUACGGAAGCGUUAUCCGGAGAUAUUGAGAGCCAACAGUUUGGCAUCCGAUGAUGAAACUCACGGCAGACAAUGCGAUACAUUGAUCCGCAAUUGCCCGAACAUUUGCCGGCUGUCAUCUCCGUUGCAUCCGGUCAGCGCUUAUCCGCGGAAUGUUACCUGUCACUAUCGAGUGCUUUUCGAUCGCGACGAUUGGCAAGUAGUUCUUGGUGGACAGCCGGGCGACCGCUACGAUCUGGGCUUGCAUCAUCCGCAUCAACAACAUUGUCACGACAACACUGAUCGACUGGUCAUCUACGAGAAACUGAUUGGCCAUCAGCAAUACCAACAAGUGGCCAAAUUCUGCGGACGUGGUACUUUCCCUAAGAUUAUCGCCCAAAGUGGUCAAGUCAUGGUGGAAUUGAUUAGCUCGCCGACUGGAUUUUUUCAUCAAGGCUUCCGGCUAAGCGUCACACACCAGCGGAGGAGAAAAUCGGAUCAUCAGAGUAUCGUUUCCCCUUGUUAUCAUUCUAUAACAGCCAGCGGACAGUUUUAUCAACAAGGAACUAUCACCUCCCCUCGGCAUUGGUUUCCUCGUAACGUCGAUUGCACCUGGUCACUAACAUCCAGCCGGAUCUGGCUGGAAAUCCAAUCGAAAAGCAAUAAGUUGUCAAGUAGUAGCUGGGCAACGUCAAGUGGACAUUAUAACAAUGCUACGUGUUUCCAUCGCUUGCUGGUGCAUCGAACAUCUUCGGAUCCGGCGGAGCGGAUGACUAUUUGCGAACACAACUCGACAUCCAGCAGCACUCCGACGCGGACGCUACUCGUUCGCGAUCAGGUUCAAUUGAGAUUUUUCAGCCAACGAGGAUCGAUGACUGGAUCCGACAUGGAUUUCAGUCUCUUCUACAUGCUCCUUCCGGAAGAAGUUCCCGUCGUGGUGGAUACGCUGUGCGACAGGAUCUUGGAAGAGCCCAAAGGCACAAUCGAUUUGAUUGGAGAUCGACUUCUCUUGAUGCGACACAAACAACUGAAAUGUCGUUACAGAUUCCAAGCGCCUUACGGAGACGAUUACCGCAUCCGCAUCGUUAUCCGGCAGAUGGUUUUCGACCCAAUCCGACAAUGCGACCCCGGCCGUCGUGACGAGUGUUCCAUCGAUUCAAACCGACAGGAUUUCGAUUGGCUUCUUGUGUCGGAUCGGGAUCUGCUCCAUUGUUUCUGCCAAUCCGCUGGUAAAAAUCAGGAGCCAACAAUUAUAGACAGUGCGUCAAAUCGGCUCGAUAUCCAGCUCGAUCUGAAGCAUAUCUACGAUCAGUCGUACAAGGAUACCAACAUCUAUCGCUUUCAGAUCGAUUACAGUUGGAUAGAGGACAGUGGAUGCGGUAAUCCGAUCGAAGACGAUCAGGGUGGAAUGAUCCGCUGGAGAGCAGACCCUAAGGGCAGCAAUCAGUCGUGCACCUGGCUGAUUGAGGUGCCCGACAACGAUCGCAUCUUGUUGAAAAUCAAUAUGGCCUUUGCGGGAAAUUCAUCAGAUCAUUGCCACCGGAAUCAUCACGUGUCUUUCGGCUAUCACGGACGUAAAAAUGACAGCCAACAGCGCCAGCAACGACUCCGUCAGGUGGUGACGAUGGAAAACUACGGAAAAGAUGAGUGCUCCAUGAACGGCGAAUUCAUUAGUCCGUUCGGUUUGCGCUACCUGCACGUCCAAAUGGAAACAAAAUCAGCCAAUAAUCCACGGGCUCGUUUCCUGCUCAAGUGGAACGUCCUGUUCAACAGUGUUUCAAGUUUGUCCAGUCAAGAAUCUUCUUCCGGAGUAACUAGUGCGGAUAACGAAGUAGCACCUGGUGGCGGUAUGUUGUUAUUACCAUUAUUCCCGUGUCCGGAUAGUAACUGGUCGAUUCCGGAGAGUCUUGUCUGCGACGGACGGAUCAACUGCCCGCAGCAAAGUCUCUUUGGUUACCUGCUGGACGAGGAAUCUUGCACGUUGCGGAAUAGUAGCUAUAACCAAGAUUAUUAUUACCCUUGGGUGAUGGUGUUGGUCGUCAGUUUCGGAUUCAGCGUCGUUAUUUCCCUGGCCAGCGUGUCGUCUCACGUCAGGAAGUGGAAAUCCCCCAUCACAUCAGCUGUUGAAUAAUGUUUUGAUCUGUGAGGGGGGAGGAGAAUGUUGUUCCUUUACUUUCUUUUUGCUUUUAUUUUAUUUGAAUUAUUUGUUGGAUCUUAUUGCCACCUUUGAUGGUAGAGAAUUAUUAUGUACGAUGCUCUCUAAUGGUUGUCUGAAUUUUACAUGACGUCACUUUCUAGUUGUCUCUCCGUAGGCCUGGCAACGUUUUCUCUAUUCGGCUGCAUUUGUUGUUCUCUUUGCUGGAAGCCUAAAACGAUAUUUCCGUAUGUGUGAGCAUGUCCUGACAAAGUGUUUUUUAGGGGAAAGAAAAAUAUUAUCUAUUAUACCAUACAUAUGUACUGUAUUAUACACAAAAUGGAAAUGUGGAACGGAGACUUUUUUGACAGCUAGAAAAGUCUUGGGACUUAUUGAUUUACUUAUCGCUUAAAAGGACAGGACGGGCCGGUUUUGUCCAUAUUUUCUUACACGGCAGCUAUGUAAAAGUGCCUCAUCAUUAUAUGAAUGUCUGGCAAGUUACGAUGCGCCAGACUUUUUUGCUAGUCGACUCUACACACACUGCGAUACACCGUCACUCUCCCAUGUUCAAUUGCCGAGAACCUAUUUCCGCUGGAAGGAUAGUUUGCCAUCAACCUGUGUCACAUUACCUCGCCUACAUUCGUCGGGGACUCUGAAUCUACAUCGGAAUUGUUGCUUUUCUAGUACGAAAUUGACAUAAUGACAUGAUACGACCCCCUUCCCCAUUUUCAACAGGGUCGUUCGAAACCAAUUUCACUGAAGUUCACUAACGAGGCAAACAUUCAACAGCGCCGAUUAAAGAAUUUGCUUCGUAUCCUACAACGUUUAGCUAGUUGUGUAUAAGUAUGGCGUUUAACUUUAAUGAUAGGCAGUACCCACUAACAAGUGGAAUGUCUUGUAAAGAUUUUCUUUUGUUGGAUUUUAAUUGCAAGAGUUUAAGGUGCGUGGAAGUACAAGCUUUUCUUCGUUAUGCGGAAAAACCCCGCUCAAUAGAUUUAAAAAAAAAAACUUUUCCCCGCUCUUUCAACACGUUUAACUUUUCCUUCCCUUUUUUUUGUUCUAGUUGUUAUUUAAACAAUUUGCAACGUUUCACGCAAUUGGUACAAGAUAUUUACCUCGAAUAGCUUGGCUCUAGGUUAUACCUGACUGACACAACAGUCGUCUAAUGAAUCGGACAGUUGUGCAUGGGUGUUUGAACGGCGCCUAAUUGAAGACGAACUUUUUUUCCGAUUCCACGCAUUUGGGAAAUUGUAAGGCAGUGGUUUACGUAAUGAAAUAACUGUCUAUCUUUAAAAUCUCCCUGCCCCCUUCCCUUAAAAAAAAGAAUCUACAGCUAAUUACUAAAACGGUUUUUAUCGUCUUUCACGGCUGCCUCGACCUCCAGAAACAAAAACGUGACACGAGUUCGAUAGCAGUAUGGAAGGUACUAAUGUGGUAUGUCGUGAAGUCAAUUGGAAAAUCUUACGCCGUCGAAAUUUUUUAUGAAUUGCUUCUCGUUGUUAAAUAUCGUCGUGUAAACAGAUUUAAAACAUUUCGCCUUACCUGAAAACGGCGCUGCCCGUGUGGCUCCCCAGCUAUUUUCCUAUACACAAGUUUGGCAACUACUGGAUAAGAAUUAAAAUUUUCCUUUGUUGGUUGAACCUUAAGCAAAAUGGGAAAUGGCGUGAGAAGAGAAACACUCAAAAGGAACAAGAGUAUCUGCCAUGGUUUGAUUCAUACUUUUACACAAGACGUUAUUUUUCGUACUAUGAUAAUGGUCCAAACUCCGCAGAUGAAUCUCAACGAGAAUAAUUCCAAACGGAAGAAAAUUCGAGUUCUGUCUAGAAAGGUAUGAACAUACAGUUUAGAAAAAGUAAAUGUACCGAAACUCGUAAAAAACUGACUUUGUCGAAGCUGGAAGAAAUGCUCGAACGUCAAGGUUGACUCCAAAAACGUACUCAAACGGCUUGCUGGCAUCGUUUAUCAAACACGUCUUCUUCCUGGGUUUUUCGACGUAGUACGCCAUCAUUUAGUGACAACAUUAAAUAUUUUGACGAACCGAAAACGAAGUUGUAUUCGGGCCACUAUUUCACCUAUUCCACCAAUUCAUAGAAUGCUAGAAAAAAGUUGAAUACUGAUAGCAAAACUACAUGACAAAUCAUAUAUAUACAUACAAAAUCAUCUUUUUCUAUCUCUAGCUUGAGAUUUUGUCAUGCAUUCGAAGCUGCAAUCUCUUGUUGUAUACCGUGGAAACGAAGACUGAAAAUGCUGAAACGUUCAGAAUCAACGAAUUCAUACUCAUGAGACAACUGAAAAUGGAGUAGCUUUUCAUCAACUACCCUUCCUCGUCCGGAGUGGGAAAAUGGCGCGUCGAGGGGUGAAACGUCGAAAGAGUCCGGAUGCUUCCACCCUUUCCAAUAAUACAAGUAUCGAAUUAUUCAAAUCAACAAUUUAAAAAAAUUUAUACAUCAACUUUCACGAAAUAAAAAAAGCUUAAUUUUAAAA